rnacentral:rRNA from 2 species
AGAGUUUGAUCAUGGCUCAGAGCGAACGCUGGCGGCAGGCCUAACACAUGCAAGUCGAACGGGCCCCUUCGGGGGUCAGUGGCAGACGGGUGAGUAACGCGUGGGAACGUGCCCAUCGGUUCGGGAUAACCCAGGGAAACUUGGGCUAAUACCGGAUACGCCCUUUUGGGGGAAAGAUUCAUUGCCGAUGGAUCGGCCCGCGUCUGAUUAGCUAGUUGGCGAGGUAACGGCUCACCAAGGCGACGAUCAGUAGCUGGUCUGAGAGGAUGAUCAGCCACACUGGGACUGAGACACGGCCCAGACUCCUACGGGAGGCAGCAGUGGGGAAUAUUGGACAAUGGGCGCAAGCCUGAUCCAGCCAUGCCGCGUGAGUGAUGAAGGCCUUAGGGUUGUAAAGCUCUUUCACCCACGACGAUAAUGACGGUAGUGGGAGAAGAAGCCCCGGCUAACUUCGUGCCAGCAGCCGCGGUAAUACGAAGGGGGCUAGCGUUGCUCGGAAUCACUGGGCGUAAAGGGCGCGUAGGCGGCCGAUCAAGUCAGGGGUGAAAGCCUGUGGCUCAACCACAGAAUUGCCUUUGAUACUGUUCGGCUCGAGACCGGAAGAGGUUGGUGGAACUGCGAGUGUAGAGGUGAAAUUCGUAGAUAUUCGCAAGAACACCAGUGGCGAAGGCGGCCAACUGGUCCGGUUCUGACGCUGAGGCGCGAAAGCGUGGGGAGCAAACAGGAUUAGAUACCCCUGUAGUCC